AUAUUUUAAUGUGGAAAAAUUAUUUAUAAUUAAUUUUUUGUAAUUAUACGUUAGUCGUUCUUUAUGAUAUCUAGUUUUCUAAGAAAUUAAUUUAAUUAACUAGAGUAAGAUGUAUUUAUUUGAGAAAUAAAUUUUUAUGUUUAGAAUAUUCAGAGGGAUAAGCUUUUGGGUAGAUUUUUAUAAUUAUAGUGGUUUAGAUAAUGAAUAGGAUUAGAAGUUUCCAUUUUUAGUGUGUUUUAACUAGGUUUUUAAAGAGAUUAAUUUUUUUUUGUUUAAAUGUUUUAUUAGGAUAAAGGCUUGAAUUUAGGGGUUUUGGAAUAAUGAUGAGAUUAGUAGAAUGGAGUGUAUAAUGUGAGUAUGGGGUUUAAUUUUAUUUUAAGGAAUUAGGCAAAUUUCUUUUCGCCUGUUUAAUAAAAACAUGGCUUUUUGAUGAUGAUUUAAGGUCAGGCCUGCCCAAUGAUAAUUUAAAUGGCUGCGGUAUACUGACCGUGCAAAGGUAGCAUAAUCAUUAGUUUUUUUAUUGGAAGCUGGAAUGAAGGGUUUAACGAGAAAGAAGCUGUCUUAAUUUAAUUAUUUGAAUUUUAUAUUUGAGUGAGAAAGCUUAAAUGGAUUUGAGGGACGAGAAGACCCUAUAGAAUUUAAUAGUUUAAAUGUUUUGGGAGUUUAGAUUGGGUUAACUGGGAUAUAGUAUAAUUAUUUUGUUGGGGUGAUAGGAAAACUUGAUUAACUUUUUUUUUUACUUGUCAUUGAUAAAUGAAUAUAUGAUCCAUUAUGAGUGAUUAUAAGAAUAAAUUACCUUAGGGAUAACAGCGUUAUUAGUCUGGAGAGUUCAAAUCGAUA
rnacentral:rRNA from 1 species